UAAAAUCAAUAGAAUCGUUAAAUACUAAAUUUCAACAACAACAAUAUUAAAUAUUUUACUUGAUACAACUAUAACUUACAUUAAUAAGUUACUUUCAUGUUUUUCUAACUAACAUUUAACAUUUUUAAUAAGAACUAUUAGAGAAAAGAUUACGUUAAGAAACUAAUCAUGAAAUAUUUUUCUGCUCUUGCUUUCAUUAUCGUUGUUUUCAAUAUGUUAAGUUUAAAUUUCAGCACUUUGCAUCCAAG
rnacentral:lncRNA from 1 species